GCACGUGCAGGGGCCAGUUGAGGAAGUCGACCCGAAGGCCACGGCAGGAGCGCUUCAUUUUGUACAGAAUUUCGACAACACGGGACCUCAAGACCCAUUGGCCACGUCCUCCAUUGCAACCGCAACGUAUCGUCUUCAGUGAAUAGCAAAUGUGGUCAAGUGAUCUUCGUGGAAGCUCGUCAGGAUGAAAUCUCUAGAACACUCCUGAGGAGGACGUCUGAGCCAGCACUGAAGUGGUGUCACUUCAAGGAUUGUCAUCGCCCUUUCUCAGCCGGUAUCAGAGAAUACGCUGUAGAGAAAGUCCCACUUGUUCGGAAAGCGGCUUUGAGGCGAACCCUUAAUCUAAAAUGUCAGGAGUACAUUCUCUCCCUUCAGGAGCCACCAGCCCUGAUUCCUUCUGUGGGAACCUGGAAGAGACCUGCCUCGGCAAGGGGGGGCCACUGAGACCCCUCUCUGAGCCCCACAGGGGCAGAGCAGGCGCGACCCUCGGCUUCAAGUCGCUGGGAGCUACAACAGCCCUUUCUGCAAAACACCGCCUGUCUGCACAGCCCCGUGAGGUGUCUCAAAGGCAACUUCCCAAAAUGCAUGGUCAACACUGACGCCGCCGCGGGACCACAGAGCAGCCAGAUAACCUUUUAACGUUCAAGGUCUGGAAACUCAACCACAACCCAAGCAAACGGCCAAAAAGAAUACCCCAAAUGGUGUUCCUGGCGCGUGGGAUUCACCUGCGAAGAACGGGAGCUUACCGCGAAUUUCAAAGGCGCAGUGUGAACCCUUCCGGUGCCGGCGACCGCGCGGCGGCGAGGCGCGCGCUCCGGGCGCACAAAGGGUCCCCGCGCCUCCCGCCCCCGGGCCGGCGUCCCCGCCGCCCCCGGGGUCCGCGAGCAGUGCGCGCGGUGGGACACAGGCCUGCGGAAGCCGGGGCAGCAAGAGAGCCGAAGACAACCGCCGCCGCCGAUGGGCGCCCAGCUGCCCCCGCCGUGUGCGCGGUAACGGGGUCCCCGCCUCUCCCCCAAAACCCGGUUCCAGGCGCAUUCUUUCCAGGCCCGGGCGCUCCCUUUUGCAACGAAACCGUUUACUCAACUGGAUUAAACCACAACGGUUAUCCAUUCACUAAAAUAGCCAGUUUUUAAAAACUCGCGAGUGUGGUUUGUUGUUGUUGUUGUUUUCGGGUCUACAGUGAAAAGACCCUAAAGGUAGUGGCUUGAAGUGCAUUCCAAAUACAAGCUGCAUUUUACUUACACUUUUAAGUAUGCCAAUCAAGCCCUGUAAAUUGUAAAAACAAAACAAAACAAAAAGCACAGCAAUGCGUGGGUUAAGGAACAAACUGAAAAUCCGUUUUAUUAACCACAGGCGCUGAGGAUUAAAUCUGUAUUGGGUCUGCACGUUAUAAAACACAGAGGCAAAUUCUUAAUUACAGUUAAUCAAGCAGAUCAUUAGCUGCAUGAUUAUGGGUGGGUUUUUUUUUUUGCCUGCCACGCGUGUGGUUUAAGUGUAUUUCCUUAUCUGAUACGUUUGAGAUACCUUCAUGGUACUUUCUGGAUGUUAGCAAAGCAGGUUUUCACUUUACAGUGAUGAGUGCACGCUUUCACUUAAAAAAGCUAAGUGAAACCCGGAAAGGCACUCUCUGUCCCCUCCGGCCCCCACCUUCCCCAGCGGAAAAGUAAACAGGGUGGGGGUGGUCGUCACCGGAGGGCAGGGGUUCGAGUCUGGGAGACUUUGGGGGAACACUCAGCGCCGCCUUGACGGAUCCCAGUACUUUCCGCUGACUGGGGACGCUCUCGAAAAUGUUUUUUAAAUCUGACCGCACCCACCCAGCCGUGUGCAGAAACUGCCCUCCGUCUCGCCUGAGCAGAUCAGACGCCAGCGACCGAAAGGCCUCCUCAACUUACUUUGGAGGGGUUUUUGAUUUGUUUCCCGGGGCUGGCACUAUUUUAGAACAGUCCCCACUUUACAACUUUCCCCAAAACGGGAUUUUUUUUUUUUCCAGUUUUCAAAGUGUCAUGCUAUACGUUUGAAUAUACUGAUAUGGUACUGUUUUAACACACAUAUGUUAUAUCAAGAGAUCAACACGUGAAUUUUGUUGAUUUUAUGAGUCUGAAGGCAAACGGGUUUGUGUGUGUAUGUGUGUGUGUGUGUGUGUGUGUGUGUGUUUUCCCAUCAUUAGCUGGCUCUUUUGAGUAAACAUUCUUUAAUAGGAGGAAGUGUUUGCCCGCCCAUAGCUCAGAAAAUGCUUCCUCACAAUCUCCGCUAAAAACAGGUAAAGGAAAAACACCCAACCCAACGUGAACUUACUAGAUCUGUUUUCAGAAGACUAAGAGAAAAAAAAGGAUUUUAAAAUCUCAAUCAAAGCAUCCGGCUUUGUGAGAAAAUGGUAAAGAUGUCUAAGCAUCGCCGCUCUUUGCACAUUGACGACGACGCACACGAUUGGAGUCUAAAAUGAUUCCGCUUAGCUGAACUGCCUUCAGUAAAUUUAAAGACUGUUCACAGAAUAAUCGGGCCUUUUUCUCCCCUCAGAGUGUUUUGAUUAUAAGAGUGCAAUAAGUGUUGAGACGAGUGGAAUAAAACAAAGUCUUUCUUUCUAUACUAUGAAGAUUUUGAAUAGUACUUGUCAAUAAAGCAAUUCCUAUUGUAAUCUUAGGGGAGGGUGGCCUCCACCCCGGAAGGACUGUCUCAGAGAUAGUAACCUCAUUACAAUAUGAAUGAAAAAGGCCGCCAGCAUUGUAUCGGGAGAAAACCGAUGCACGGGCACCCGGUUUUCUUAUCAGCCGUUACUUUUACGCAGGCACUCACUUGGGAUCCGUUAUACAUAUAAAAGCGAUCCGUUAUAACUUCAUCGCUAUCUCAGAGCGCGCUGGUCAAAGUAAAUCCUAACUUUUGCUCUUCUGAAACCUACCUGCCCCUCUGGAUCCUGCUACGUAGAUAGAGUGUCUUCUUUUCUUUUUUCCCCUCAAGGCUUAU